GACUGAUAAAUGACACCCUGAAUGGCUGUAAUAAGGAUUGUGGAUUGAAGAGCUUUGUGUCCUUGAAUCAAGCCUUGGGUAUGCACAAAGACAGAGUGAUGAAUGAAGUGUGUUGAGUGUAAAUUGUCAAUACAGCUGAUUAAAGUUUAAGUGUGUUUGUGUUAAUUUAGCUACUGAGCACAUGGUGUUGGAGUCACCUGCAGCCCGUCAUGCUCCUCCUCGUCCUCCUGGGAUGGGAAGUGUGAGCCUUGCAGCCACCAACCACUGGCAACCAGAUGUGCUAAGGCCUCUCUUUGAAGACCCUGAACAGGAAGAAUGUUGGCCCCUCCCUCCCCUUCUCAUAGUUGAUAAUUGCAUGUCUCACAUUUAGUUGAUAGUCUGUAAUACACAUGACCUCUGUGUCUUUAUGUUGUUUCUAAGAAAAUAUAAUAAAGAGAUGUCUGCCUGUUAGUGAAGUAAGCCCUGCCCCUAAUGUGUAACUCAGUAAUGUUGCUUAAUGUAACCAAACAGUCAACUUCUUGUGUUGUUAAAUGUUGUAAAAUAAAAGUGGCAUGCUGGUUGCCGUGCUGCAUGUUGGCCUCACACUUGGGUUGAACUGUGGUGCUGGUGUGUGUGGAGUUUGCAUCCUGUUCUCUCUGAAUGACCUGCAGUCAGUCUGUGUGUGAAUGUUGGGUCCUAUGAAUGCUUCAUCUUGUAUACUUACAUAUAUGAAGAAGAAUAAACAUAAUAUAAGUU